AUUGAACGCUGGCGGCAUGCCUUACACAUGCAAGUCGAGCGGCAGCGCGGGGGCAACCCUGGCGGCGAGCGGCGAACGGGUGAGUAAUACAUCGGAACGUGUCCAGUAGCGGGGGAUAACCUGUCGAAAGAUAGGCUAAUACCGCAUACGACCUACGGGUGAAAGCGGGGGACCGCAAGGCCUUGCACUAUUGGAGCGGCCGAUGUCGGAUUAGCUAGUUGGCGGGGUAAAAGCCAACCAAGGCGACGAUCCGUAGCUGGUCUGAGAGGACGAUCAGCCACACUGGAACUGAGACACGGUCCAGACUCCUACGGGAGGCAGCAGUGGGGAAUUUUGGACAAUGGGGGCAACCCUGAUCCAGCCAUGCCGCGUGAGUGAAGAAGGCCUUCGGGUUGUAACGCUCUUUCGGCGGGGACGAAACGGUUCGUGACAACACCACGGACUAAUGACAGUACUCGCAGAAGAAGCACCGGCUAACUACGUGCCAGCAGCCGCCGUAACAC
rnacentral:rRNA from 1 species